GCCAGCAGCCAUAUCACCCUGCAACUCACAGCUGGCAGCCCACUGAAGCCCAGCAGGGUGAGCCUGGUCAGUACCUGGAGGGGAGACUCCUGGGAAAAACUAAGGUUGCUGCUGGAA
rfam:Lepisosteus oculatus linkage group LG20, whole genome shotgun sequence.